rnacentral:rRNA from 1 species
AAAUGAAUAGACGGGGGCCCGCACAAGCGGAGGAACAUGUGGUUUAAUUCGAUGAUACGCGAGGAACCUUACCCGGGCUCGAACGGUAUGUGAACGAUACAGAGAUGUAAAGGUCAGCAAUGACACAUAUCGAGGUGCUGCAUGGUUGUCGUCAGCUCGUGCCGUGAGGUGUCGGCUUAAGUGCCAUAACGAGCGCAACCCUUGUCAGUAGUUACCAUCAGGUCAAGCUGGGGACUCUACUGAGACUGCCACCGUAAGGUGUGAGGAAGGGGGGGAUGACGUCAAAUCAGCACGGCCCUUAUGUCCGGGGCGACACACGUGUUACAAUGGUGAGUACAGAGGGCAGCUACACAGCGAUGUGAUGCUAAUCUCCAAAACUCAUCUCAGUUCGGAUCGGAGUCUGCAACUCGACUCCGUGAAGUUGGAUUCGCUAGUAAUCGCGCAUCAGCCAUGGCGCGGUGAAUACGUUCCCGGGCCUUGUACACACCGCCCGU